UUGAGCAAAGGUGUUACAAGGAAUUGAGAAAUGAGAAUUUUCAAUCUGCAAAAAUUGUCAUGUGCAUUUACAGGAAGUUAUUAAUUUAUUGUAAGGAGCAAAUGCCUCUAUUUGCGAGUAGCUUACUAAGCAUUAUCCACACUCUGCUGGAUCAAAUACGGCAAGAUGAAAUGCAAAUUACAGGAUGCCAAACACUUUUUGACUUUGUAAAUAAUCAGAGUGAUGGAAUGUAUAUGUUUAACUUAGAAGCCUUUAUUCCAAAACU